UACGUAGGGUGCAAGCGUUGUCCGGAAUUAUUGGGCGUAAAGAGCUCGUAGGCGGUCUGUCGCGUCGGCUGUGAAAACCCGGAGCUCAACUCCGGGCCUGCAGUCGAUACGGGCAGACUGGAGUUCGGCAGGGGAGACUGGAAUUCCCGGUGUAGCGGCGAAAUGCGCAGAUAUCAGGAGGAACACCGGUGGCGAAGGCGGGUCUCUGGGCCGAUACUGACGCUGAGGAGCGAAAGCGUGGGGAGCGAACAGG
rnacentral:rRNA from 1 species